CAUUUCCCCUUAUUCUUUUCUCCUCCCUCUCUCUUCACACUCUCUCUUCUCUCUACCCCUCUCCGUCCACCGCCCACCUUCGCUGGCCGGAAAUCGCCACCACCGGUCGGACGCCAUCCAAACACCACAAAUUUUGCAUCACCGUGCUCUCCUCACUCUCCUCUUACCUAUUCUACACCCCAAAACCUUCAAAACCCUCUCCAAAUCCGUAGAUGUAGCCUAGAACGAAACCCUAGACGCCGCUCACCAUCCCCAAACUCCAAAUUUUUUACACCCCGCUCUCCUCUUACUCUCCUCUACCUGAUUUCAUGACACAACAUCACCAAUCUCACCCCCAAAAAGCCGCACCACCACCGUCCAGCCACCCCCACUGCCGCGACCACCACAGCCCCACCACUAAACCUCUAUUUUAGCCUAAUUCCGAGCCAAGAACACUCGUUUCCUUUUGGUAUAACACGGAGCUCAUUGAAUUUGGUGUCUACCGAAAUGAAAUAAGAGUUCCAUCGUCGGCCAGCCGCUACUCGAGGUUCACGACAUCGUCUCUUUGCUCUAAUAAAUGUCAAAUUCCUUUGUUGGAUUCUUGAUGAAAAUAAAAAGGAUUUGACCUUGGUUUGGCUGUUGAAACAUGUUAGAUCUGAUUUCGUUUCAAGAUGAAUGUCAUAUUAGUGUUAUUAUUAUGUAAAUCUGUUAGAAGUUAGCUAAAUUGUCAGUUCUUCUUUACAUAUGUGGUUGAAACUCUAUUCUGCUAAGUCUAUCUCGAACUGGGUAGUGUAAAUUUUUCUUCGCAUUUUUACUUUAGUAAUUAAAGUUCAUUUGUUAGUUCAUGUUU